rnacentral:tRNA from 1 species
GGGCGAGUGGCGGAACUGGCAGACGCGCUGGAUUUAGGUUCCAGUGCCGAAAGGUGUGCGGGUUCAAGUCCCGCCUCGCCCACCA